rnacentral:misc_RNA from 1 species
GGGGUGUUGAGCAAUAACCAUCAUGUCCUCCAUUACUCCGUUUGCAAGGAUAAAAACUAGAAACUAGUGGAUUCAAUAAGAUUUUACCUGUUAUGGAACAAUUGAGUUCCACCAAUUAAAGAACAGAUAUGAGUAUCUGUUUCAUGCUCGAUUCAGGGAGCAUCAUGCACAAUCAUCUCAGCAACAUCUGGUUACAUUAACCUUAAUAGCAGCCUUCAAAUACAAUCAGAUAUAACUUUGUCCAUUCAAUUGAUAAAGCGCCAACAAGAAC